GGGGGCGUUACGGAUUCGACAGGUAUAGGUCGAGCUUGGAUUGCGUUUCGUAGGUUACGUCUACGUAAAAACGUUACAGUUAAAAUAACUGCUAAAAACAAUAAUAACUCUUACGCUUUAGCUGCGUAAUAACAGCUUAGUGUAGAUCCUCUCGGCAUCGCCCAUGUGCUCGAGCAAGGGUCCUAUAAUUAGUGGGAUACGCUAAACCUUUCCGUCUGCAAGGUUUAGAAGAGAUUAUCAGACUAGCGAAGCACGAUGCCGGUUGUGUGGCUGGUGCCCAGCGAAUCUUUAAAUAGCAUAACUAUAAACGUAGAUGUCUAGGUGCCGAUAUAUUUGGACGCGGGUUCGACUCCCGCCGUCUCCAUGA
rfam:Carnobacterium sp. CP1, complete genome.